GAUGAACGCUGGCGGCGUGCCUAAUACAUGCAAGUCGAGCGAACAGACGAGGAGCUUGCUCCUCUGACGUUAGCGGCGGACGGGUGAGUAACACGUGGAUAACCUACCUAUAAGACUGGGAUAACUUCGGGAAACCGGAGCUAAUACCGGAUAAUAUAUUGAACCGCAUGGUUCAAUAGUGAAAGACGGUUUUGCUGUCACUUAUAGAUGGAUCCGCGCCGCAUUAGCUAGUUGGUAAGGUAACGGCUUACCAAGGCAACGAUGCGUAGCCGACAUGAGAGGGUGAGCGGCCACACUGGAACUGAGACACGGUCCAGACUCCUACGGGAGGCAGCAGUAGGGAAUCUUCCGCAAUGGGCGAAAGCCUGACGGAGCAACGCCGCGUGAGUGAUGAAGGUCUUCGGAUCGUAAAACUCUGUUAUUAGGGAAGAACAAAUGUGUAAGUAACUAUGCACGUCUUGACGGUACCUAAUCAGAAAGCCACGGCUAACUACGUG
rnacentral:rRNA from 1 species